rnacentral:rRNA from 1 species
AUUGAACGCUGGCGGCAGGCCUAACACAUGCAAGUCGAACGAGUGGCGGACGGGUGAGUAAUGUCUGGGAAACUGCCCGAUGGAGGGGGAUAACUACUGGAAACGGUAGCUAAUACCGCAUACCAUCGGAUGUGCCCAGGUGGGAUUAGCUAGUAGGUGGGGUAACGGCUCACCUAGGCGACGAUCCCUAGCUGGUCUGAGGGGAUGACCGGCAAACCGGGACCUGGGCAAGGGCCCAGACCCCUACGGGAGGAGGCGGGGGGGAAUUUUGCACAUGGGGGGAAAGCCGGAUGCAGCAAUGCGGCGUGUAUGAAGAGGGCUUUCGGGUUGUAAAGUAUUUUCAGGGAGGAGGCGUUACUCGCAGAAGAAGAACCGGCUAACUCCGUGCCAGCAGCCGCGGUAAUA